GAGAAAACUCCUUCACCUCGUCUCUCUCCUUUAGUUCGUUCAUUCACAGAGAAAAAACAAUACCACCCAAAAUUUCUCCUCCUUUCUUAGAUCUCCACCGUUGAAGCCUAAUUAAACCCUUAUAUAAGAAUAUCUCACUAAUAUUAACCUUUUCCAUCUAUCAAUUCUGCAGCAGUUAGGUUUAAUUUUCAAAAUCACCGGGUACAGGUAAAUCUCAGCUCUAGUUGUUGUUUUUCAUCAGUUGAUUUCAGGUAGAUCUCAACAGCUUAAGUGGCAGUUCAACAAAUUUUCAUCAGGGAAGGUGUCACAAAGAAUCCUCUGGAUUUGAGGGACCCUGGACAACCAACCCCCUAGUAUUUGAUAACUCUUCCUUCAAGGAGCUUCCAAAACUGAAGAAGGAAGGCUUAAUCCAACUCCGAGUUGUUAAGACACUCUUGCCUGAUCCCUUUAUCCGUCCCUUGUUGAAAAAUAUGCAGAGGCUUGUAUUAUGUCGUAAUCAACUCCAUCCGUCACCAUUUUUCUUAAAAAUAAUUAUGGAUAAUGGAUUUAUAAAAUCAUAAUUUAGAAAAGUCCAUACAAAAGUUCAUUGGCAUUUCAUAUGUGUUGGUCUCAGGUAAUGACUUUUUCAAGCAGAAAAAGUACCCCGAGGCUGUAAAUCACUAUACAGAAGCCUUGAGAAGGAAUCCCAAAGACCCAAAGGUAUUAUUGUCUUUUGAUCUUAGUUUUCUGGAAGGAUUUCUUAAGUGCGUAUUGGUUCAGCUUGUGACAUUUGUUCCGUUCUAACACAAGUAUCUAGCAACAGAGCAGCAUGUUACAUCAAGAGAACCCUAAUGUUGAAAGGUGUUGAGUGACUUCCAAGAGAACCCUAAUGUUGCACAAAGUCAUCUGAAAUGACCGAAACCCAUUUUUUUCGCAUUUGGAUUUUUAUUUCAUCUUAUUUAUUUUUCUUUAACACUACUUUUCUUUUAAAGUAAGCACAAGUUGCUUCCCAUUUUUUUUCUACUUAUCAGAACCUUGCACCUCUAUUGUGAAGUUAGCAUCAAGAAGCAUACAAGGAGAGCUGCAACGAGAACUGCAAACGAUUUCUUAUUACAUGACAAGUUAUUGAACUAUGUCUGUAAAGGAAUUGGAUUCCUGCAAUGGUUUAGAGAGCUGCAAUGAGAACUGCAAACGAUUUCUUAUUACAUGACAAGUUAGUGAACUAUGUCUAUAAAGGAAUUGGAUUCCUGCAAUGGUUUAGUUAAGUUUUCAUUUUUUUUUCUCCUUAUAAGAACCUUGCACCUGAAUUGUGCAAUUAGUAUCAAGGACGAUACAAGGAGGUGGCAAUACUGAAAAUUCUUUAACUUUGUCGCUCUCCUGGGUCUGUUCCGCACUAAAUUGCUUGCCUGGUUCUGUUCCGCACUAAACCCAUACUCUCUUAAACCACCUCCUUGUAUUUUUGUUGCAGCCAGCCCAAAAUGAGCAAGACUGUUCCAUUAUAAAUCUCUUGUAAAUGAAGAUACUUACAAACCUUUCUUUAGUUAAGUGUUCAAUCAUAGUCAUUAGUAUAACAGUGAGUAUCUUCUUUGUUACCUUUGUUUUUCAGUCGUUUUGAAUUCAUGCUUCCAUAAUAUUUGUUUCAUUUCGUAUGACUACGUCUCAACAAAUUUAAAUAAUAAUCUAGCUAUCGUUUCAGUGCUUGAAAGCGUGAAACUAUUAUGCAUAAGUAAUUGUGAAUUGUACUUAUUCUUAUAGGACGGUAGUUUGAGAUUUACUUUGUUUCCGUUUGUCACUAACUUAAAUUUUUUGUUGCUUCCUUGUAGGGUGGAUGGGAGACGGAGAUCCAGGAUAUUCAUUUGUAUCUCUUUAUGUUAGCUUAUCUUCCCUGUAUCAGUAAUGGUGCCAAUACUUAACCCUAAGGUUUGGAAUUACAAGGUUUGGUUCUGUCAGCUCACAAGGUUCAGCUUCAUGGAUUUGGCAGAGAAGAAGAUUUGCUUCUGCUGGUACUUCUCUGUGCCAAGUUCACUUCCAACUCAGGGCAUUCCUCUAUACAUCUGUUAAAUUUCUGCUAAUUGGAGAAGGUUCCACUUAUCGACUUUCAGAAUUGGUACUCGUAUCUCUCAUAAUUGUGCACAUUAUGAUUUGGGUUACAGCCUCAACUAUGACUUGCACUCCUCAAGCAGUUGAUGUACUGAGCAAAGCUAAUAUUCUUAUUGCUCCAACAAAGGCUGUUGGAACUGAAAGGAUAUGAAUAACUAUCCCAUGAUAUCUUGUCAUCUUCGGUUAGUUCUAAGAAAAAUAGCAGGUGUCUCAAUGGAUCUCCCCCAAUUUUGUUUGAUUCGAUGUUGGCUUGUUGCAAGCGGUACUACACGUUUAGUAUGUCGAUGAUAAUGAUAAAAUAAGUGAGCUGAAAAUGAGACUUUAUUGUUGUUUGUUGUUUUACUUGUGUAGAGUAUAACUUAAUCGCUUAAGCUUUUGUAAUGUGCAUGCAAGCAAGUUUGUGUAUAAUUCUAAGAAAGUUGAAUCCAUAGAAAAGAAGUCAUUGCAACUAAAUGAAUAAGCAUUGCUAGUUGCCGCGAAUGUGUGUUCUAUUCAGGGUUAAAUUAGGGGAAACUAAUUUUUGGGGAUAAUCAUAAGUUGCAGGUGAAGUCUCUUGCUAUAAACCUUCUUAUACUUACGUAAUCUCCUUGUAGUAUACAGAUGAUGGACAUUAUGGAUCCAUUGUCAUCCUACUCAUUCUAGAAAAUGAUCAGAAAAGUUAUUGGUCUUUCUUGCACACAGAUGGCCCCAUACAUUGAUUUGUAGCUUCUUUUGUUUGUGUUGGAUCCAAACGAUUUAUCAUCUUAUCCGGUAGGGGUCUAUGAUGUUCCAGGUGAGUCUGUUACGCACUUAGAUACUGAUCAUUGUUCCAAAUUUGGUAUGUUGCCAUCUCAUUUUCAUCAUAAUGGUGUGAAUGGAGGAUUCAAUUAUGUUUCUUUCUUGUAUGGUAGUUCUCUUUACUUUAUCAAAUUACAGGUGUUUGUAGCUGAACCUCCUUUGUUCUCAGACCUUGUGGGAUUUUUGUUCUUUGGUGCUUGCUGUUCCAUGUUGGAUUUGUAGUCUUUUGACCUUUCCAUCCAUCUAGAAUUCAGAACUUACUUUUUCUGUUACUUUCCUACUAAGUGCCAACUGAAUCUGUUUUUCUGAAACAUUUUUUUGUUCUUCAGGUGCACCAUUAUGAAGUGUUGGGUCAGUUCAUUUUACCGCAGGUGUAUCAAGUGUGUGGGGUUAGUUCAACACCAGGCAGUCAAUCAUUUUGUUGGUUUGCACUUUUCUUUAAAACAUCAUCAUUGGAGUUUAUAAUUUUGUUGUUUAAUCGAUAGUUUUUUAGUUCAUCAUUUUGUAAUCGAAUCCUAGAACUACAGAUUACAUUUGUUAGAACUACAGAUUUUAAUCCUUUGUGUAAUUUGAAACCAAUGCAUCAAUGAAUGUUAAAUUAAAGGAUUA